rnacentral:rRNA from 1 species
UACGUAGGGUGCGAGCGUUAAUCGGAAUUACUGGGCGUAAAGCGUGCGCAGGCGGUUCGUUGUGUCGGUGGUGAAAUCCCCGGGCUUAACCUGGGAAUGGCCAUGGAAACUGGCGGGCUUGAGUGCGGCAGAGGGGGGUGGAAUUCCGCGUGUAGCAGUGAAAUGCGUAGAGAUGCGGAGGAACACCGAUGGCGAAGGCAGCCCCCUGGGUCGACACUGACGCUCAGGCACGAAAGCGUGGGGAGCAAACAGG